CGCACGGGUGCGUAACGCGUAUGCAACCUACCCUGUACUGGAGGAUAGCCCGGAGAAAUCCGGAUUAAUACUCCAUAGUAUCAUAUUAUCUCCUGAUAGAAUGAUUAAAGGUUACGGUACAGGAUGGGCAUGCGUCCCAUUAGCUAGAUGGUAAGGUAACGGCUUACCAUGGCAACGAUGGGUAGGGGGCCUGAGAGGGUGAUCCCCCACACUGGUACUGAGACACGGACCAG
rnacentral:rRNA from 1 species